rnacentral:rRNA from 1 species
GACGAACGCUGGCGGCGUGCUUAACACAUGCAAGUCGAACGGAAAGGCCCUGCUUUUGUUGGGUGCUCGAGUGGCGCACGGGUGAGUAACACGUGAGUAACCUUCCCUGUACUUUGGGAUAACUUCAGGAAACUGGGGCUAAUACCGGAUAGGAGCUCCUGCUGCAUGGUGGGGGUUGGAAAGUUUCGGCGGUUGGGGAUGGACUCGCGGCUUAUCAGCUUGUUGGUGGGGUAGUGGCUUACCAAGGCUUUGACGGGUAGCCGGCCUGGGAGGGUGACCGGCCACAUUGGGACUGAGAUACGGACCAGACUCCUACGGGAGGCAGCAGUGGGGAAUAUUGCACAAUGGGCGGAAGCCUGAUGCAGCAACGCCGCGUGCGGGAUGACGGCCUUCGGGUUGUAAACCGCUUUCGCCUGUGACGAAGCGUGAGUGACGGUAAUGGGUAAAGAAGCACCGGCUAACUACGUG